UGGAUUCCAGAGGCAAGCUCCAGCUCAGCCGGACCAGCACCUGCUGUCAAAGCUAACUGCCACACCACCACCUAAACUCCUCCUGGGCCUGGACCCCAUAAACUGGGCCAACUCUCAGCAGCUAAAAAUCCAUGACAGGAUUCAAUUCAAGCUGGUUUGAAGACUUGCACCAGGUAGCAUGUGACCUACUGUAUGAGUGCUGGGCUGGAUGUGACACCUCUGUCUCAGGCCCACAACCCUCACAGUACUGAGCAUCUGACCCACCUUAUAGGAAAGCUGCCUGCC